rnacentral:rRNA from 1 species
UACGAAGGGGACUAGCGUUGUUCGGAAUCACUGGGCGUAAAGCGCACGUAGGCGGAUGUGUCAGUCAGGGGUGAAAUCCCGGGGCUCAACCUCGGAACUGCCUUUGAUACAGCACGUCUCGAGUCCGGAAGAGGUGGGUGGAAUUCCUAGUGUAGAGGUGAAAUUCGUAGAUAUUAGGAAGAACACCGGUGGCGAAGGCGGCCCACUGGUCCGGUACUGACGCUGAGGAGCGAAAGUGUGGGGAGCGAACAGG